rnacentral:rRNA from 1 species
CCUACGGGAGGCUGCAGUGAGGAAUAUUGGGCAAUGGAGGCAACUCUGACCCAGCCAUGCCGCGUGAGUGAAGAAGGUUUUCGGAUUGUAAAGCUCUUUCGGAUGUGACGAUGAUGACGGUAGCAUCUAAAGAAGCCCCGGCUAACUUCGUGCCAGCAGCCGCGGUAAUACGAAGGGGGCAAGCGUUGUUCGGAAUUACUGGGCGUAAAGGGAGUGUAGGCGGCAGUGCAAGUCUGGAGUGAAAGGCGGGGGCUCAACCCCCGGACUGCUCUGGAAACUGUACGGCUGGAGUGCAGGAGAGGUAAGUGGAAUUCCUAGUGUAGCGGUGAAAUGCGUAGAUAUUAGGAGGAACACCAGUGGCGAAGGCGGCUUACUGGACUGUAACUGACGUUGAGGCUCGAAAGCGUGGGGAGCAAACAGGAUUAGAUACCCCAGUAGUC